AUUGAACGCUGGCGGAAUGCUUUACACAUGCAAGUCGAGCGGCAGCGCGGGGCAACCUGGCGGCGAGCGGCGAACGGGUGAGUAAUACAUCGGAACGUGCCCAGACGUGGGGGAUAACUACUCGAAAGAGUGGCUAAUACCGCAUACGAUCUGAGGAUGAAAGCGGGGGAUCGCAAGACCUCGCGCGUCUGGAGCGGCCGAUGGCAGAUUAGGUAGUUGGUGAGGUAAAGGCUUACCAAGCCUGCGAUCUGUAGCUGGUCUGAGAGGAUGAUCAGCCACACUGGGACUGAGACACGGCCCAGACUCCUACGGGAGGCAGCAGUGGGGAAUUUUGGACAAUGGGCGAAAGCCUGAUCCAGCCAUUCCGCGUGCAGGAUGAAGGCCCUCGGGUUGUAAACUGCUUUUGUACGGAACGAAAAAGCUCUGGCUAAUACCUGGAGUCCAUGACGGUACCGUAAGAAUAAGCACCGGCUAACUACGUGCCAGCCGCCGCAGUAA
rnacentral:rRNA from 1 species